rnacentral:rRNA from 1 species
UAAGAUUUUAAUUGAAUGCUAAGAGAAUGGAAGUCCAGAAAAAAACUUUUUUUAAAUUAAAAAUUGAAGUUUUUUUAAUUUGUGCAGAAACAAUUAUUUAUAUUAAAGACAAGAAGACCCUAUGAAUUUAUUAAAUUUUUAUUUAAUAUGUAAUUACUAUUAGAAAAAUUUUGGCUGGGGCGGCUAGAAAAUAUUAUGAACUUUUUAAAAAUAAAAUGAUCCAUUAUUAAUGAUUUUAUGUUAAAUACUCUAGGGAUAACAGCGUUAUAUUUUUUGAUAGAUCAUAUUGACAAAAAAGUUUGCGACCUCGAUGUUGGAUUAGGAUACUUUUUUAAUGAAGAUAUUAAAAAAAGAAGUUUGUUCAACUUUUAAUUUCCUACUUGAUCUG